rnacentral:rRNA from 1 species
UACGUAGGGUGCAAGCGUUUGUCCGGAAUUAUUGGGCGUAAAGAGCUCGUAGGCGGUCUGUCGCGUCUGCUGUGAAAACUCAGGGCUUAACCCUGAGCUUGCAGUGGGUACGGGCAGACUAGAGUGCGGUAGGGGAGACUGGAAUUCCUGGUGUAGCGGUGAAAUGCGCAGAUAUCAGGAGGAACACCGGUGGCGAAGGCGGGUCUCUGGGCCGUAACUGACGCUGAGGAGCGAAAGCAUGGGGGAGCGAACAGG